UCCAAUUAAGUUACGCCCCAUGAGUAAGAGUUGACACUACCACAUUGUAGAGGCAAGACUUAUGACUUUCAAAUAAAAAGUUACUUUUCAUGGGCAAGAGUUGAUACCAUCAGAUUAUGUUUUGAUUUAUGAGAAGUUCUAUAACUCUUACUUUAGAGGCACUCAAGGACUUUCAAACAAUAAAUUAUGUCCCACGGGCAAGAUUUG
rnacentral:lncRNA from 1 species